rnacentral:rRNA from 1 species
GUCUUUUUGAUUAUAAUUUAAAGUCUGACCUGCCCAAUGAAUAUUUAAUGGCCGCAGUAUUUUGACUGUGCAAAGGUAGCAUAAUCAUUAGUUUUUUAAUUGAAAGCUGGAAUGAAUGGUUGGACGAGGGAAUUACUGUCUCAAAUUAAUUUAAUUAAAAUUUUAUUUUUAAGUUAAAAAGCUUAAAUUUUUUUAAAAGACGAGAAGACCCUAUAGAGUUUUAUAUUUAAUUAAUUUUUAUUCUUUAUUAUAUUAAUAAUUUAAUUAAAUAUUUUAUUGGGGUGAUAAAUAAAUUUAAUAAACUUUAUUUUUUAUUAUUCAUGAAUAAAUGAAUUUUUGAUCCAUUAUUAAUGAUUAUAAGAUUAAAUUACCUUAGGGAUAACAGCGUUAUCUUUUUAGAGAGUUCAAAUCGAAAAAAAGGAUUGCGACCUCGAUGUUGGAUUAAAAUUAAUUUUUGGUGUAGAAGCUAAAAUAUUAAGUCUGUUCGACUUUUAAAAUUUUACAUGAUCUGAGUUUAAACCGGCGUGAGCCAGGUUGGUUUCUAUCUUUAAAUAAUUAAAAUAUUUUAGUACGAAAGGACCAAAUAUUUAUAAUAAUUGUUAAAUUUUGAAUAU